rnacentral:rRNA from 1 species
AUUGAACGCUGGCGGCAGGCCUAACACAUGCAAGUCGAGCGGAUGAAGGGAGCUUGCUCCUGGAUUCAGCGGCGGACGGGUGAGUAAUGCCUAGGAAUCUGCCUGGUAGUGGGGGAUAACGUCCGGAAACGGGCGCUAAUACCGCAUACGUCCUGAGGGAGAAAGUGGGGGAUCUUCGGACCUCACGCUAUCAGAUGAGCCUAGGUCGGAUUAGCUAGUUGGUGGGGUAAAGGCCUACCAAGGCGACGAUCCGUAACUGGUCUGAGAGGAUGAUCAGUCACACUGGAACUGAGACACGGUCCAGACUCCUACGGGAGGCAGCAGUGGGGAAUAUUGGACAAUGGGCGAAAGCCUGAUCCAGCCAUGCCGCGUGUGUGAAGAAGGUCUUCGGAUUGUAAAGCACUUUAAGUUGGGAGGAAGGGCAGUAGUUAAUACCUUGCUGUUUUGACGUUACCAACAGAAUAAGCACCGGCUAACUUCGUG